GCCGAUGUCGCUCAUUCUAGUAGUGGUAGGAAAGCGCGCCUCCGCGGCGGGAUAACCCCGUUCGGACAGGAUGGCGCGCGACCAAGGCUCCCCAAGGGGCCUUUUUUUGUACCCGCCU
rfam:Labrenzia alba strain CECT 5096 genome assembly, contig: 0013